GAUAUUCUUAUUUGGGAAAUUAAAUGGAGUUGGAGAUGGAUGCACUAGUGCCUUUGGGCCUUAAGAUAUGCUAGUCCGGUUUGGGAAGAUACAAUCACAAUGUUGAUUUGGUCUACAUACCUAGAGAAUAAGCAAGAAGAAAGUGUUUGAACCAAGCAAUGUUUAGAAAGUAGAGAAAGAAAUCUAGGAUUCGGGGUCUCCCUGCUGUUAGGUGUCCUCUCAUAUACGAGGGGCUUUUACAUGCAUCGGGUGCCUAUACUUUUCUCUCGCCUAAUUGUGAGUUCCAAUUGAGUGGGUCCGAAUAUCAUGUUAUCUGCCCUAUGGAUCUCACUGCCACUUUGCAGUAAUUUCUCUUUUGUACUUCUUUCUUUGGAAAACUAUAACAUCAAUGAUUGGACAGGUUGGUCGCUCUUAGUUUUGCGAAAUCUGCGUAAUGGAGCAAAUUGCAGUUCAUGCAUUAGAAGUUAUAAUUACUUUUGUCAAUCAUGGCUUUUCUGAAAUGGAUUCGUUCCUGUUUAUCUCAGUCUUGCAUGAUCCUUUGAUAAGCUUGAUCUUCUGUUUUCAUUAUGAAGUACAUAUACAAUGAAAGGGAUUUUUCGGAUGGACUUCAGAUCUAAGGGCUAUCUUAUAAGUUCCUUGCAGGAACAAAAAUCCCCAUCACUAAGAAUGGUUCCUUUUGUAGUCAUUGAUGGCAGUCAGUGGCCAGCAGUGGAUUAUGUCGUUGUGAACAUGCAUGGUUCAAGGCAUCAUCUACCUCUUAGCUCAUUAUGUCACCAACAGCAGCCGAUUAAUGCUUCUCCUUACAAAUGCCUUUAGGCACUUAUUGGUCCUGAACACCCCUGUAAGUCUGUGACAUGUAAACUUAAUGCAUAUGGUUAACUGCAAUGUUUCUUGCCCCUUGAGAUUUUUCUGAUUAUCUAGAACAUGCGGUUCCGUUAAUUUUGUAAUGACGCAUUUACUUUGAUACAAGUAUCUGAUUUGAUGCUCUUGUUCCUCUAUUUUUGAAAGUUGGACUGCUUGAUGAGGGAAGAAAAUUCUUUCAUUAGGAAACUGUGUCCGUGCUGUUGACCUUUGCUUUUUCAAAAUGAAUUCCAGAGAUCAGUUCAUGCCAAGACUUCCUUAUUUUCUAUGGAAAAAGUGGAGCCAGCGCAGAGGGGAUGAGCAGGAGCAGCAGCAGUAGAGCCAUGCUGCAGUCUACCAGCCCAACACAAACGCAGUGGAUGAUUGGGAGAUGUACCAGAUGGACAUUUACUUGUAAUUUGUCUAAUUAGGAGAGGGAGAUCCACUUUUGUUCCAUGCGGCCAUCUUGUGUGUGUCAGCGGUGUGCAUUAUCCGUGGAACGGGAGGUUUCACCAAUAUGCUUUGUUGUAGGCAGCUGAUCUUUAAUUCAGUCCGGAUUCUUGAGUAUUAUAGUGAUUUUGUUUCUUUUAGUCCGAGGGUCGAAAGUCGAAAUUGUUAGCUUUUCUUCCUUAAUAUAUCCUCGAAAAAAGAGCAUGCCCAUCCUUUAAUGGAGAGUCCACAAUGGACCAGUGAUUAUUUUGUGUCAAUAACGAUGCUUCGUAGGUCUCUCCAACUGUGAAAACUG